AUAAAUAUAUAGAGAGAGAGAGAAAGGUUGGAAUACUAUUGAUAGCAAAAGAUUCUUUUUGCUAUCAAGUUUUUAAUUUUUGGAUGAGAAAUUGUAGAGAUGGAAUGAUAUUAGUCCCGUAGUGUUGAGUGGUCCCCCUAGGGUUGAGUGAUCGCUACUGAGUUAUAAUUAAUAUUUAAUCCAAUAAUUAGAAAUGAUAAAAAAAAUUUGAUCCAAAGGCUAAAAACUUAAUAGCAAAAAA
rnacentral:lncRNA from 1 species